AUACAUAGUCGGGCUUGAUUGGGAAACAAUAACAUGGUUGAUGUGCUCGUUCUGGGUAAAUAGAGUUUCUAUCAUUUAUGGUAGUUCCUUGUUCCCCGGAUAGUUAGUUACGUAGCCAAUUGUGGAACUUUCUUGCUAAAAUUUUUAAGAAUACUAGUUGGGCAACCAAUUAGUUCUUUUAAAUUAUAACGAUUAUCAAUUAACAAUCAAUUCAGAACUGGCACGGACUUGGGGAAUCCGACUGUCUAAUUAAAACAAAGCAUUGUGAUGGCCCUAGCGGGUGUUGACACAAUGUGAUUUCUGCCCAGUGCUCUGAAUGUCAAAGUGAAGAAAUUCAAGUAAGCGCGGGUCAACGGCGGGAGUAACUAUGACUCUCUUAAGGUAGCCAAAUGCCUCGUCAUCUAAUUAGUGACGCGCAUGAAUGGAUUAACGAGAUUCCUACUGUCCCUAUCUACUAUCUAGCGAAACCACAGCCAAGGGAACGGGCUUGGAAUAAUUAGCGGGGAAAGAAGACCCUUUUGAGCUUGACUCUAAUCUGGCAGUGUAAGGAGACAUAAGAGGUGUAGAAUAAGUGGGAGAUAUUAGACUUCGGUUUGGUAUCGACAAUGAAAUACCACUACUCUUAUUGUUUCCUUACUUACUUGAUUAAGUGGAACGUGUAUCAUUUCCUAGCCAUUAUACGGAUAUAUCUAUUAUAUCUUAUGGUAUUGGGUUUUGAUGCAAGCUUCUUGAUCAAAGUAUCACGAGUUUGUUAUAUAAUCGCAAACAAAUUCUUUAAUGAGAGAAAACAGCAAUGGAUUCUUGAUUUAAAAAUUUGGUAUAACUCCAAUUACUCAGGUAUGAUCCAAUUCAAGGACAUUGCCAGGUAGGGAGUUUGACUGGGGCGGUACAUCUCUCAAAUAAUAACGGAGGUGUCCCAAGGCCAGCUCAGUGCGGACAGAAACCACACAUAGAGCAAAAGGGCAAAUGCUGACUUGAUCUCGGUGUUCAGUACACACAGGGACAGCAAAAGCUCGGCCUAUCGAUCCUUUUGGUUUAAAGAGUUUUUAACAAGAGGUGUCAGAAAAGUUACCAUAGGGAUAACUGGCUUGUGGCGGCCAAGCGUUCAUAGCGACGUCGCUUUUUGAUCCUUCGAUGUCGGCUCUUCCUAUCAUUGUGAAGCAAAAUUCACCAAGCGUUGGAUUGUUCACCCAUGCAAGGGAACGUGAGCUGGGUUUAGACCGUCGUGAGACAGGUUAGUUUUACCCUACUAAUGACAAAACGUUGUUGCGACAGCAUUCCUGCGUAGUACGAGAGGAACCGCAGGUACGGACCAAUGGCACAAUACUUGUUCGAGAGAACAGUGGUAUGACGCUACGUCCGUUGGAUUAUGCCUGAACGCCUCUAAGGUCGUAUCCGUGCUGGACUGCAAUGAUAAAUUUGGGGCAAUUUGCAUUGUAUGGCUUCUAAACCAUUAAAAGUUUAUAAUUCAUUUUAUAAACGACGAUGGAUGUGAUGCCAAUGUUAGUUAUACAUAGUAAAUUGGGAGGAUCUCCGAUCACCUGAUGCCAUGCUAGUAUAAUUUCAAACAUUAUUUAAUACAAUGACAAAGCCUGGAAUCAAUUGUAAACGACUUUUGUAACAGGCAAGGUGUUGUAAGUGGUUGAGCAGCUGCCAUACUGCGAUCCACUGAAGCUUAUCCUUUGCUUGAUGAUUCGA
rnacentral:rRNA from 1 species